rnacentral:rRNA from 1 species
UACGUAGGGGGCUAGCGUUGUCCGGAAUCAUUGGGCGUAAAGAGCGUGUAGGCGGCCCGGUAAGUCCGCUGUAAAAGUCAAAGGCUCAACCUUUGAAUGUCAGUGGAUACUGCCGGGCUAGAGUCCGGAGAGGUGAGUGGAACUGCGAGUGUAGAGGUGAAAUUCGUAGAUAUUCGCAAGAACACCAGUGGCGAAGGCGGCUCACUGGCCCGGUACUGACGCUGAGGUGCGAAAGCGUGGGAGCAACAGG